CCUACGGGAGGCAGCAGUGAGGAAUAUUGGUCAAUGGGCGCGAGCCUGAACCAGCCAAGUAGCGUGAAGGAUGACUGCCCUACGGGUUGUAAACUUCUUUUAUAAAGGAAUAAAGUGAGGCACGUGUCCCUUUUUGUAUGUACUUUAUGAAUAAGGAUCGGCUAACUCCGUGCCAGCAGCCGCGGUAAUACGGAGGAUCCGAGCGUUAUCCGGAUUUAUUGGGUUUAAAGGGGGCGUAGAUGGGUUGUUAAGUCAGCUGUGAAAGGUUGGGGGUCAACCGUAAAAUUGCAGUUGAUACUGGCAGUCUUGAGUAGGGGUGAGGUAGGCGGAAUGCGUGGUGUAGCGGUGAAAUGCUUAGAUAGCGCGCAGAACGCCGAUUGCGAAGGCAGCUUG
rnacentral:rRNA from 1 species